UACGGGGGGGGGCAAGCGUUGUUCGGAAUUACUGGGCGUAAAGCGCGUGUAGGUGGCGAUGUAAGUCGGGUGUGAAAUCCCUCGGCUCAACCGAGGAAGUGCACUCGAUACUGUGUCGCUUGAGUGUUGGAGGGGAUGGCGGAAUUCCCGGUGUAGAGGUGAAAUUCGUAGAUAUCGGGAGGAACACCUGUGGCGAAGGCGGCCAUCUGGACAACUACUGACACUGAGACGCGAAAGCGUGGGUAGCAAACAGG
rnacentral:rRNA from 1 species